AUACGGAGGACGCGAGCGUUAUCCGGAUUCAUUGGGUUUAAAGGGUGCGCAGGCGGCCGUGCAAGUCAGCGGUGAAAGCCCGGGGCCCAACCCCGGAAGUGCCGUUGAUACUGCAUGGCUUGAAUGCGGUCGAGGCGGGGGGAAAGGGGGGUGUAGCGGGGAAAUGCGGAGAUAGGGCACAGAACGCCGAUAGCGGAGGCCGUUCGCCAGGCCUGCAUUCACGCUCGGGCGCGAAAGCGUGGGGAUCGAACAGGAUUAGAUACCCUGGUAGCCCACGCCGUAAACGAUGGGCGCUCGUCGUCGGCGGCAGACAGUCGGCGGCCAAGCGAAAGCGAUAAGCGCCCCACCUGGGGAGUACGGUCGCAAGGCUGAAACUCAAAGGAAUGGACGGGG
rnacentral:rRNA from 1 species